AACUUCAUAUAGUGGAUUCCUAGGCUCUCCAAUCGACGAAGAACGCUGCGAAACGCGAAAUGCUCUUGGAUUUGCAACCUGACGAGCAGCUGUUCUAACGCCACCAGUUCGUCUUAGACGACUUUACGUGAGAGUGCCGUCACAUUCCAGUGACCCACAGACAAGUGUAUC
rnacentral:rRNA from 1 species